GCUCUGGUAGCACAGUGGUUAAAGCUCUCGGCUGCUAACUGAGAGGCUGAUGGUUCAAACCCACCAGCU
rnacentral:tRNA from 1 species